GCUCACUUUCGCGUGCACCUAUAUAGGCUAGCAAUUCGCAUCGAGCUGAUUUUAUUGCUAGGAAUAUCGAAUAAUGGAAUAUGAUGAUCGUCUACCGACUGUCCAUAGAAAUCGUUUCAGGUGGAAAGAUGUGCGCGGUACUGGAGCCUUGCUGGAUUCCUGAACCGUGCCACCCCUGUGGGUUGCUCCAGGCGGGAAUCCAAGCUCGCGCUCUUGGCCACUGAUUUUUUCAACGCAAGUCUUGUAUAUUUCAGCGCAAUACCUACACUAAGUCCAGAAUGAUUGCAUCGAAGAAAAUCGCUCGACGUAAAGCCACCGGACGCUUCUGAAGUACGAGACAUCUUCGAAUGUUAAUCGGAGCGGUCACGUUUUGGUGCGGAAAGUGCUUGCGCGGAUAUAGUUGCCGAUCGAAGAACUCCAUAGCGAGCCUUUUUAUUUUUAAUGGCCUCGGCAUCGGAUGCUCGGUUGGCUCACCUCGCACAAAACUCAAGCGCACGGAUCCGCUCCAAACUCUUCUUCUGUGUCUGUCAGAGCGUUCACCCGUGCUCAUGACGUGUGUAUGUCGCUGUAACCGCAUCGACGGGAAUUGAGCAGAGCCGAUUUCUGCACUCGUGGUACGCUAUCGGCGAGAAUGCAGGAGUCCACCCAUUCCGUACCACGGCACGUCCAGUGCAAUUUGCUAUCACCAUCAAACGAUGCUAUGCGUCUUUUAUAUCCCCUCCCUGGAUAUUGAGCCAGUUGGUGGAUGCACAUUUCAUACCCCGUCUAAUGCACGUCAUUGGCGACUCCAGCUCUGUGUUGUCCAUGUCCACGAAACACGGUCCGCACGUGCAACUUGGACACUUGUAUGCGCUCCGAACGAGACAUACAAAGCAUAACGCCAUGCUCGAUGCGGUGCUCAGAACGUCGAGAUAACUUUCGACGCCGUCAUUCCUCUUGUUCGUAUGCGUCCUGGCGUCUGCCAUGCCCGACUCUCUAUACUAGUCAAUGUUGAAACCGUUUAGCCGCUUGGCUUGCUUUCCAUUGACGUCUUUUGAUCCAUGCGCAUGAUUUCAGGGUUCGGCGGCCGCUGUAACCUCCUCGAACCCGGGAUACAUGCUCAUCACAAAGUUUUGCUCUUCAUUUGCCUUGAAUGAAUGGAAAUAAGCUCCGUUGCUCGAUGUAGGCCUAGGUUUCAUGAAGUGCAUGCAGAUGGACAUGUCGCCGAUCCGCAUCUUCCCGGUAAACUUCUUUUCAUU